UAACUUGAUUGAGGUUUUUACUACGAUAC
rnacentral:sRNA from 1 species